AAUAAGAAAGAAGUUCUGAGGCCGCAUGACUUUUGCCCUCGGGUCACAGGUCACAAUACACAGAAGUAAGGAUUGGAACCGGAUUUUCCGGAUUGUGCUGCUCCGCCAAAGGAACGCUUCGUAGAAUUGUGCUAGAGGCCUGCCAGGGACACAGCAACACCUUAUCUCAAAAAUAAUGAAGUUCUUGAGGCCGCGGAGAUGGUUCGGCGGUUAAGAGUCCUUGCAGAAGACCCAGGCUCCAUUCCCAGCACCCACAUGGUGGCUUGCAACUGUCCACAACUCCAGUUCCGGGCGAUCCGAUGCCUUCUUCUGACCUCCCUGGACAACAGGCAUGCGAGUGGUGCACAUUCAUACAUAAAAUGAAACACUCACACACACAAAAUGAGAACAAAAAUAAAAUUUAAAAAUCUGGUCUUAGAGCAUUUUCAUCACCA